rnacentral:rRNA from 1 species
UACGUAGGGUGCGAGCGUUGUCCGGAAUCACUGGGCGUAAAGGGCGCGUAGGCGGCUCGGUAAGUAGGGGGUGAAAUCCUGCGGCUUAACCGCAGGGCUGCCUUCUAAACUGUCGAGCUUGAGCACGGUAGAGGCAGAUGGAAUUCCCGGUGUAGCGGUGGAAUGCGUAGAGAUCGGGAAGAACAUCAGUGGCGAAGGCGGUCUGCUGGGCCGUUGCUGACGCUGAGGCGCGACAGCGUGGGGAGCAAACAGG